rnacentral:rRNA from 1 species
AACGUAGGAGGCGAGCGUUAUCCGGAGUUACUGGGCGUAAAGCGCGCGCAGGCGGUGCGGUAAGUGACUUGUGAAAAUGCCCUGCUAAACUGGGCGAGGUAAGGUCAGACUGCCGUGCUAGAGUGUGGUAGAGGAGCACGGAAUUCGGGGUGUAGCGGUGAAAUGUGUAGAGACCCCGAGGAACACAAGUGGCGCAAGCGGCUCUCUGGGCCACUACUGACGCUGAAGCGCGAAAGCGUGGGGAGCGAACCGU